CGGGAAGCCAUAUGGCGACAUAGAGCGGAACCCGAAAACCUGUCUCAGUUCGGAUUGGAGUCUGCAACCCGACUCCAUGAAGCUGGAUUCGCUAGUAAUCGCGCAUCAGCCACGGCGCGGUGAAUACGUUCCCGGGCCUUGUACACACCGCCCGUCAAGCCAUGGAAGCCGGGAGUGCCUGAAGUGCGUGAGCGCAAGCAGCGCCCUAAGGUAAAACCGGUGACUGGGGCUAAGUCGUAACAAGGUACC
rnacentral:rRNA from 1 species